rnacentral:rRNA from 1 species
CACGUAGGGCGCAAGCGUUGUCCGGAAUUAUUGGGCGUAAAGAGCUCGUAGGCGGUCUGUUACGUCUGCUGUGAAAACCCGGGGCUUAACCCUGGGCUUGCAGUGGAUACGGGCAGACUAGAGGCAGGUAGGGAGAAUGGAAUUCCCGGUGUAGCGGUGAAUGCGCAGAUAUCGGGAGGAACACCGGUGGCGAAGGCGGUUCUCUGGGCCUGACCUGACGCUGAGGAGCGAAAGCGUGGGGAGCGAACAGG